rnacentral:rRNA from 1 species
UACGUAGGGUGCGAGCGUUGUCCGGAAUUACUGGGCGUAAAGAGCUCGUAGGUGGUUUGUCGCGUUGUCCGUGAAAACUCACAACUCAAUUGUGGGCGUGCGGGCGAUACGGGCAGACUGGAGUACUGCAGGGGAGACUGGAAUUCCUGGUGUAGCGGUGGAAUGCGCAGAUAUCAGGAGGAACACCGGUGGCGAAGGCGGGUCUCUGGGCAGUAACUGACGCUGGGGAGCGAAAGCGUGGGGAGCGAACAGG